GACGUAGGGGGCCAGCGUUGUUCGGAAUUACUGGGCGUAAAGGGCUCGUAGGCGGCCAACUAAGUCAGACGUGAAAUCCCUCGGCUUAACCGGGGAACUGCGUCUGAUACUGGAUGGCUUGAGGUUGGGAGAGGGAUGCGGAAUUCCAGGUGUAGCGGUGAAAUGCGUAGAUAUCUGGAGGAACACCGGUGGCGAAGGCGGCAUCCUGGACCAAUUCUGACGCUGAGGAGCGAAAGCCAGGGGAGCAAACGGG
rnacentral:rRNA from 1 species